rnacentral:rRNA from 1 species
GGGCCCGCACAAGCGGUGGAGCAUGUGGUUUAAUUCGAUGAUACGCGAGGAACCUUACCAGGGCUUAAAUGUAGUUUGACCGGUCUGGAAACAGACUUUCUCUUCGGAGCAGAUUACAAGGUGCUGCAUGGUUGUCGUCAGCUCGUGCCGUGAGGUGUUAGGUUAAGUCCUGCAACGAGCGCAACCCCUAUUCUUAGUUGCCAGCGGUUCGGCCGGGGACUCUAAGAAGACUGCCAGCGCAAGCUGAGAGGAAGGUGGGGAUGACGUCAAAUCAUCACGGCCCUUACGUCCUGGGCUUCACGCAUGCUACAAUGGCCGGUACAGAGGGCUGCAAUACCGCAAGGUGGAGCGAAUCCCAAAAAGCCGGUCUCAGUUCGGAUUGAGGUCUGCAACUCGACCUCAUG